rnacentral:lncRNA from 1 species
AGUCUGUGAACGAAGGACACCCAGACAAGCUUUGCGACCAGAUCUCUGAUGCAGUCCUCGAUGCCUGCCUUGAGCAAGACCCUGACAGCAAAGUUGCUUGCGAGACAUGUACCAAGACCAACAUGGUCAUGGUCUUCGGUGAGAUCACCACCAAGGCAACGAUUGACUACGAGAAGAUUGUCCGUGACACUUGCCGCUCCAUUGGAUUCAUCUCUGAUGAUGUUGGUCUCGAUGCUGACAAAUGCAAAGUCCUUGUCAACAUUGAACAGCAGAGCCCAGACAUUGCUCAAGGUGUUCACGGUCAUUUCACCAAACGCCCAGAAGACAUUGGAGCUGGUGACCAAGGACACAUGUUUGGUUAUGCCACUGAUGAAACCCCUGAGCUCAUGCCUUUGAGCCAUGUCCUUGCAACCAAGAUUGGUGCUCGUCUCACUGAAGUCAGGAAGAAUGGAACUUGCCGUUGGUUAAGACCAGAUGGCAAGACCCAAGUCACUGUUGAGUACUACAACGACAACGGUGCUAUGGUUCCAGUCCGUGUCCACACCGUCCUGAUCUCAACCCAGCACGAUGAAACUGUGACCAACGACGAGAUCGCACGUGACCUCAAGGAACACGUGAUCAAACCAAUCAUCCCAGAGAAAUACCUUGACGACAAAACCAUCUUCCACCUCAACCCAUCAGGCCGGUUCGUGAUCGGGGGACCACACGGUGAUGCUGGUUUGACCGGACGUAAGAUCAUCAUCGACACAUACGGUGGAUGGGGAGCUCACGGAGGGGGUGCAUUCUCAGGCAAAGACCCAACCAAAGUCGACAGAAGUGGAGCUUACAUCGUGAGGCAAGCAGCAAAGAGUGUGGUGGCUAAUGGAAUGGCUCGUAGGGCUCUUGUCCAGGUCUCAUACGCCAUUGGAGUCCCCGAGCCAUUGUCUGUCUUUGUUGAUACUUACGGAACAGGGUUGAUUCCAGACAAGGAGAUCCUGAAGAUCGUGAAAGAGGCCUUUGAUUUCAGACCAGGAAUGAUGACAAUUAACUUGGACUUGAAGAGAGGAGGAAAUGGAAGGUUUUUGAAAACGGCGGCGUAUGGACAUUUCGGAAGAGACGACCCUGAUUUCACUUGGGAGGUCGUGAAGCCACUCAAGUGGGACAAACCUCAGGCUUAAGCUUAUAUUUUCUAUCUUUUUACUUUAUAAACAUCUACCGUGGACCAAUAAUUAAUCCCUCUGUUUCUGUUUUUUUCUCUCCCUCUUGUAUUUUUGCUAUGAAAGU